GACAGAGGAUGCAAGCGUUAUCCGGAAUGUUUGGGCGUAAAGCGUCUGUAGGUGGCUUUUCAAGUCCGCCGUCAAAUCCCAGGGCUCAACCCUGGACAGGCGGUGGAUACUACCAAGCUGGAGUACGGUAGGGUCAGAGGGAAUUUCCGGUGGAGCGGUGAAAUGCAUUGAGAUCAGAAAGAACACCAACGGCGAAAGCACUCUGCUGGGCCGACACUGACACUGAGAGACGAAAGCUAGGGGAGCAAAUGGG
rnacentral:rRNA from 1 species